rnacentral:rRNA from 1 species
AGAUUGAACGCUGGCGGCAUGCCUUACACAUGCAAGUCGAACGGCAGCACGGGAGCAAUCCUGGUGGCGAGUGGCGAACGGGUGAGUAAUACAUCGGAACGUGCCCAAUCGUGGGGGAUAACGCAGCGAAAGCUGUGCUAAUACCGCAUAAGAUCUACGGAUGAAAGCAGGGGAUCGCAAGACCUUGCGCGAAUGGAGCGGCCGAUGGCAGAUUAGGUAGUUGGUGAGGUAAAGGCUCACCAAGCCUUCGAUCUGUAGCUGGUCUAGAGAGGACGACCAGCCACACGUGGACUGAGACACGGCCCAGACCUCCGACGGGAGGCAGCUAGGUGGGGUAAUUUUGGAACAAGUGGGCGAAGGCCUGA